rnacentral:rRNA from 1 species
CCGCAGCUAACGCAUUAAGUACGCCGCCUGGGAAGUACGCUCGCAAGAGGGAAACUCAAAGGAAUUGACGGGGACCCGAACAAGUAGCGGAGCAUGUGGUUUAAUUCGAAGCAACGCGAAGAACCUUACCUAAGCUUGACAUCCCAAUGACAUCUCCUUAAUCGGAGAGUUCCCUUCGGGGACAUUGGUGACAGGUGGUGCAUGGUUGUCGUCAGCUCGUGUCGUGA